rnacentral:rRNA from 1 species
GAUGCCAAGCUCCCAAGAAAAGCCUCUAAGCUUCAGGUAACAGGGGACCGUACCCCAAACCGACACAGGUGGGCAGGGUGAGAAUCCCCAGGCGCUUGAGAGAACUCUGGUGAAGGAACUAGGCAAAAUAGUACCGUAACUUCGGGAGAAGGUACGCCCCUAGUACGUGAAGGCCCUGCGGCCGGAGCGGACGGGGGUUGCAGUGACCAGGUGGCUGCGACUGUUUACUAAAAACACAGCACUCUGCAAACGCGUAAGCGGAUGUAUAGGGUGUGACGCCUGCCCGGUGCCGGAAGGUUAAGUGAUGGGGUUAGCCGCAAGGCGAAGCUCUUGAUCGAAGCCCCGGUAAACGGCGGCCGUAACAAUAACGGUCCUAAGGUAGCGAAAUUCCUUGUCGGGUAAGUUCCGACCUGCACGAAUGGCGUAACGAUGGCCACGCUGUCUCCACCAGAGACUCAGUGAGAUUGAAAUCUCGGUUAAGAUGCCGAGUACCCGCGGCUAGACGGAAAGACCCCGUGAACCUUUACUAUAGCUUCACACGGGACUUUGAAUCGACUUGUGUAGGAUAGGUGGGAGGCUAGGAAGCCCGGACGCCAGUUCGGGUGGAGCCACCCUUGAAAUACCACCCUGGUCGAUUUGGAGUUCUAACCCAGGCCCGUGAUCCGGGUCGGGGACAGUGUGUGGUGGGUAGUUUGACUGGGGCGGUCUCCUCCCAAAGAGUAACGGAGGAGCACGAAGGUACCCUCAGCGCGGUCGGAAAUCGCGCAUUGAGUGCAAAGGCAUAAGGGUGCUUGACUGCGAGACAGACACGUCGAGCAGGUACGAAAGUAGGUCUUAGUGAUCCGGUGGUUCUGUAUGGAAGGGCCAUCGCUCAACGGAUAAAAGGUACUCCGGGGAUAACAGGCUGAUACCGCCCAAGAGUUCAUAUCGACGGCGGUGUUUGGCACCUCGAUGUCGGCUCAUCACAUCCUGGGGCUGAAGUCGGUCCCAAGGGUAUGGCUGUUCGCCAUUUAAAGUGGUACGCGAGCUGGGUUUAGAACGUCGUGAGACAGUUCGGUCCCUAUCUGCCGUGGGCGUUGGAGAUUUGCGGGAAGCUGCUCCUAGUACGAGAGGACCGGAGUGGACGUACCCCUGGUGUUCCGGUUGUCACGCCAGUGGCAUUGCCGGGUAGCUAUGUACGGACGGGAUAACCGCUGAAAGCAUCUAAGCGGGAAGCCCCUCCCAAG